CCAAAACUUUGUUCCCCCCACAAUGUAGGGACUGUUAAUGUGGUUUCUUUACUCAAGCAAAUCGUAUGGCUUUCUUGGAAGUUGUACUAUGCUCUUCUGUGCAUCUGUGGUUUUCUUUACUGUUUGGUUGCUCUUGUACAGCUGGGCUCACAGCUCAGAAGCACAUAGGAAGGGAGUGGGGGAGAUGCGUGCUGUGAUCCUGGCUGCUGACAAAAAUGCUUUGCCAAACAAAAACCCAAUCCCCAAAAGCAUUUUUCCUGCUUGUUGGUGGUGUUUGGGUGAUUUGGCUCACAGCGAGGUCACCCCAGAUGAUUGCUCCUGUACAGCUGAGGAGCUGACAGACAGUGGGAGGAGGAGGUGCUUCUUAACCCAGCUUUGCCACCAGACUGUGUUGUGUUUGGCUGGAGCUGAUGUGUCAGUGAUCUCGGAGCUCUCUUGGUGCAGUUUGAGAUAAAAUGAAUUCAUAUUUCAGUGGGAGACCCUCCCUGCUCCCAGUCCCAGCAAAGGUUUUCCUUUGCUCACCUUGACCCAUCUGUGAGCAGUUAGCCCAAUAAAAGCAGCAAGAACAAGCUGAGGAGAGACAGCUAAAUAACCUAGUAUUAAUGAAGUUAGGGAAAUGUUGGGAGGAAAGGCUGUGUACUUUUGGGAAGGGAAGACCAACUUUUCUCCCCUUUCCCUCCCCACCUUAGUGGCUUUGUUUGGUGGGAUAGCUCUGCUGCGCUGUACAGACCACAGUGUGCACAGUGCCUGUGCAGAAGCUGCCAGAUGUUGUGUUUCCAAUGGGAUCUUAAAACCAGGGAGAAUCACUGCACGCCAGCAGCACCUGAGCCAGAAGGAUAUGAUUGAUGUGUCUGUCUUGGGAGCUCUAAUAUGCUGUUACUGUCCAGUUUCAUGCUGUUUUAACCAGAUGUGUGAAAUUAAACUCCCUCAUAAGUUUAAUGGGGUGUUAAUUUGGGAUCCUGAUGGUUUAAGGAGCGCAGUGUUAAUCCUUUGUGGCACUCCUCUUGUUCAUCAGGUGGUGAAUAUUUUCUACCUGAUGUCUCACCCUGUUGAUGGUGUGAGGGUAACCACAACAGCAUGAAGUUUGGUUUUGAAGGAACACUGUUCAUACUGUGCCUCCUCACUAGAAGUGUGGCAGUGUCUCUUGCUUUGGGCCUUCUGGUACGAGACCUGAGUGCUGUGUUGCUGUUACACAACACUCUGAUGCAGUACAAGCUCAUUUUGUCGCCUCUCAUGCUCAGACCAGUCCAGGAGGUGAAUGCUGUGCCCACAGGCUUUCUGCUGGCCACACAGCUAAUCUGUCAGCAUGAACCAGUAUAAGCUCUGGGCUGUGGUUACAGCCAUUCCUGCAGAAAUGCAGUCACGUUCCAUGCUUGGUACAAUCUGUCACAUCUUACUGUGACACCACAGGCUUCAGAGUAGCUUCCCCUCAGCUGGAAAGUGGAUGGUGCCAGAGAUGGUGGUUGGCACUGGUGGAAGUUUUCAUAGUAGAAAUGCUGUCAGGAAGGAUUUUAGGGAAAGCUGGGGGUGGGAUGCUGCUGUUUCAGUUGAUGUCAAUCCAGAGAAGAUAGGUCUGUAGGGCAGUGAUCUCCAGCUUUAGCUGGAUUUGUACCUCACACCCUGUGUGGUAACCUCUGUACCGAGUGAAGCUGUGCUUUGUUCACCAGAUGCAGACACGAGCCUUGAAUUAACCAGUUCUCCCUUUCUGCUUUGUCUCUUGAUGUUGAGCUGACCUGGGCAGAGCUGCCUGGCAGUCUCAGGCUGCAGCUGAACACAUUUCACCUGUGUACUGCUGCAGACUGCCAUCCCUUGUUCAGUUUAUUAUUUGAACAAGUGUUUCCCUUACACUGGUUUUGUUCUUCCCUAGGUUACAAAUUGGUAUGUUCAGCCACAGGGGCUGUCAAAACAAAGCAUGUGGAGCCCUAGAUAGAAUCACAGUGUUAUAGGAUGGUUUGGGUUGGAAGGGACCUUAAAAGCUUAUCUAGUUCCAAUCCCCGUGUCAUGAGCAGGGACAACUGUGAUUGCAAGUAUCCUGAUCAUAGUUCCACCUAGAAAAUGAGCUGUAUUUAUUCUUUAAAUGGAAAAUUUGUGAAUGUUACUGUAUUUAAGAUGUUUUGGGUUUCUGAUAAAGGAGGGAAAAGUUGGGAGUAAGUAUCUUAAUCAGCUUGAAGAGUCUUAAUUUUUAAAACAAAGUUAUUUGACUGAGGAUUUUCCUGUCAACUAACUUUCAAACUAGCACACUUUCUCAUUUCCAUUAACAUGUGGCCACUUGCAGGAGGACCCUGGGCUAUGAGCUGUUUGUGACACCCUGGUGGGCUCUGGCUCCCUUGUGUCCACACUGAGCACCUCUGGUACCCAUGCCCAGCUUCCCUGCAGUGCAUUUGCUGUGUCUGAACACCCUGGUUGUUUCUUUUCAGGUGGCUGGACCAGAAGAUCCAUUCUGCACGAUGGUGAGAGUGCUGCUCUUGCAGUCUGGUUACAGCUGUGUGGUCUUUUUAGGAAACUUACUCCAUGUUGCAUUUGCUGUGCCUCGUGGCUGAAAUGGAUCUUUCUCUGAGGACUGAAAAGGGUUAUUAAUGAACUGAUCAGAUCCAGGCAGUCCUUCAGCUCACCCAGAGAUCACUGGUAACAGGCUGCUCAUGGUGAGGCAGGUACCAGGCAGAUCCAAGCAGUCACCAAAGGCCAUUAGAAAAGUUGGACAUUCCCAACUGCCCAGUAAACCCUUGCUUGCUGGCAACUCCAGCUCCCUGUAUUAUGAGCAUGACACCUUCAGCAACAGAAACAGACCCCAGCAAGUAAGAUGUCAUCAAAGUGUUUUUCCCUUUAUAAUGGAAAAUGGUUGUGGGGGUGAGUUCCCUUUGUCAUUCCUUCCUUCCUCCCCCUCCCCUUCCAUACCACCUCCUGAUGUCUAAGGUAUAAAACUAUCCCAAUCCUGUGGCAGCCCAAAGGGGGUCUCCCCCUCCUCAUGCUCCCCCAAGAAGACUGUGCUAUCAACCUCUUGGGUGUUACAAAUAUCCAACACAGGAAUGAGUGCUGGAUUUGGUGCUCCAUCCAGAAUAUGCACUCCACUAGCUCCUCAUGCUUGAAUUAUUUCUGUCCCAGCAGCCCCCCCUGCACCACCUGCUCACUUUUGCUUUAGCACUGUCACUGCUUCUGAGCAGGGACACUGAAUUCCAUGCAGGAAGCCGCAUACGGGUGCGGGAUGUACAAGGAGAGGAUGUGAAUAAGGGCUGGAAUACUUUCCACGUGCUCAUCCCAAUUCACGUAUUUUAUGAAUCAGGACUUAGUGCUAAUGUUCAUCUACGUAUCCUUUGCUAUGUCAGUGGUGCCUGUGCUCUGAUGUCAGCUGCUGGAGUCCAAGCACUGGCAGCUGGUGUCUCUGGCCAGCUCCCAGCCUGAUUUUCCUAUCAGUCACUUGGGAAAAAAGAGAAAAAAAACAGGUUUCUGACUGUGUAUGGCAUCGAAACAUGAAGGGCUUCAGUCUACAAGGUCAUUUAAGCCUUUUCUACACCAUGGCACAAGGGAAAGUUCAGAUAAAUCAAAUAGUGGUAUGAAGUUAAUACUUCUUCACUUGUACUGCAUUAAGCUGAAGUGAACUAAGGCCAGUUUAAUCCUGAAUAAAACUCUCAGCACAA